ACAGAAGUCACAGAAACCCUCCUCAUCAGAAACAUGACUUUGACCUCCGUCCUCAUCGGGACUCUCCUCUGCUGCUGCUUCACAGAGUCCAGAGGUCAGGUCACAGUGACUCAGCCUGGAGCAGUGAGAUCUGCUCCAGGAGCCACGGUCUCCAUCAGCUGUAGCUUUAAUGAUGAGGUGGACGGAGAUUGUGGCAGUUAUGCAUCUGAGUAUUGCCUCUCUUGGUACCAACAGAGAGACGGAGAAACUCCUAAACUGCUCAUUUACCUUGUCAGCACGAGAGAGUCAGGGAUUCCAGAUCGUUUUUCAGGCAGCGGAUCUGGGACUGACUUCACCCUGACCAUCAGUGCAGUUCAGACUGAAGAUGCAGCAGUUUACUACUGCCAGAGUGCACAUUAUAUCAACAAUCAGUGGGUGUUCACACCGUGAAAAAGCGUCGUACAAAAACCUCCCUCAGCUGCAGAGGAACUGAUCUGACUCACCAGCUGCACUGAAACUAAAUCUACGGAGGUUAGAUUUCAUACGGAAGUAUGAAAUCAAUAAUUCAUAACUUUUCAACACUAAACAUACUGUGAUACUGUGAGAAUAAAUACUGUGAAGUUAUAAAAAAAGGAGUUUUUUUGCUGCACAUCAAAGCUAACCUCUGUUUUAGAUGAGUUUUAUUUAUGAUGUAUGAUAACAUCGACACUAACACUACAAAUUGUGUCUGUAACCUUUUUUAUAUGAUGUGUGUUUU